CAUAUGGGUUCUCAUGGCAAAUAGAGAUAACCACAAGAUACAACUACCUGAAAUUGGUGGUGACCCUUCUGUGAGUCUCUAAAUACAUUGAGUUUCAUCAUUUUUGGGUCUCGCUUUAUGCAUAUAAAUUUGAAAAGCUUGCUUUGGUUUUUCCUUCUUCGCAAUUCCAAAACUUAGUAAAACUUUUCAAAAGAAUAUAAUAUUUUAUUGUCAACUUAAGCUAUUAUCUAUGUUGUGACAUACUAUGCUUUGAAUGGAUACAACUUUUACCACCACUAUAUUAAAAGAUUAAGGCGGAAUAAUUAUGCCUCGUUAUGUAUACUCAUUGUUCAAUCAUUGGAGGCUUUUGAAGCUAUCAUGCCUCACAACAAAACAGCAAAAAUACCUUGUCCAUUGUUUCAGAUUCAAAUAUGAUUAAGUCAAUCUAACCCAGCUGAUCUUUUCAAUACAGGUGAUAUGUCAGACCAGGAUCUGAAGUUAAUCUGGAUUCUCUUGUACAAGAUGCUAUCAGGCUAAACUCCACAGUAAAAGGUGUGUUCAUUAGAAUUUCAAAUCAUUAAAAGUUCUUAUUUUAAAAACUUUAAUUUCUUUUUUCACGUAUUAAUUUGCAGGAUACUUGCUCUGAGUUGUGCGAGAAAUCUGAGGGUACAAUACUAUUUUCAAGUGGACAAAGUCAGGCCUAUGUUGAUAAAAAGUGGUUUUCUAGAUUACUGGAACUGAAGAAAAAAAAAAAAGAAAACUCACGAUUUAUACAGCAUGGAAAUUAGAAGUUCCUUGUACAUAGUCAAUUUGCAAAUAGAUUGUAUGUAUAAGUAAUGACUCAUCAACAAAAUAAUAUCACACAUUUACUUAAAUUUUGCAUAUUUUCAUACUUACAGAAGGUGAAUAUCAUACUCUAAAUCCUUACACUUAGCCAUGAACAUUCUACUCUGAGUCAUUGUAGUAAGUCAGCAUACUUAAGACUGAAAUUAACUUCAUAUAAUCCAAAUACUACAUUUCAAAUGGCACUCAAGUUUAUGCUAUAGGAACUUUUAUCCAAGGAGGAGAUAUUAUUGGUUUGCUCUCUUCAUAUAAAAAAUGUUAAUAACUUCAAAUUCUCAAUCAUUGUCAUUACCA